UACAGAGGGGGCGAGCGUUAUUCGGAAUUAUUGGGCGUAAAGAGCUCGUAGGCGGUGUGUCGCGUCGGCCGUGAAAACCUGCAGCUUAACUGUGGGCUUGCGGUCGAUACGGGCAUCACUGGAGUUCGGCAGGGGAGACUGGAAUUCCUGGUGUAGCGGUGAAAUGCGCAGAUAUCAGGAGGAACACCGGUGGCGAAGGCGGGUCUCUGGGCCGAUACUGACGCUGAGGAGCGAAAGCGUGGGGAGCGAACAGG
rnacentral:rRNA from 1 species